GAAUCAUCCUCAUUCAAUAGGUCGUAACGAACUAGGUCAGGUCGGGAACGAAGCAGCCUUAAGUUUUCUAUCUAUGUGGAUGGGGGUGCUUGAUA
rnacentral:SRP_RNA from 1 species